rnacentral:rRNA from 1 species
UACGUAGGUGGCAAGCAUUGUCCGGAAUAACUGGGCGUAAAGCGAGUGUAGGUGGUGGAAUAAGUUAAAAGUGAAAUCCCGGGGCUCAACUCCGGAACUGCUUUUAAUACUGUUUCACUAGAGUGCAGCAGGGGUAAGAGGAAUUCCUAGUGUAGAGGUAAAAUUCGUAGAUAUUAGGAGGAACACCGGAGGCGAAGGCGUCUUACUGGGCUGUAACUGACACUGAGGCUCGAAAGCGUGGGGAGCAAAC